UACGGGGGGGGCAAGCGUUGUUCGGAAUUACUGGGCGUAAAGGGUGCGUAGGCGGUUCGCUAAGUUGAAUGUGAAAACUCUGGGCUUAACCCAGAGCCUGCAUUCAAUACUGGCGGGCUAGAGUUCUGGAGGGGAUAGCGGAAUUCCUGGUGUAGCGGUGAAAUGCGUAGAUAUCAGGAGGAACACCGGUGGCGAAGGCGGCUAUCUGGACAGAGUCUGACGCUGAGGCACGAAAGCUAGGGGAGCAAACAGG
rnacentral:rRNA from 1 species